rnacentral:rRNA from 1 species
UACGAAAGGGGCUAGCGUUGUUCGGAAUUACUGGGCGUAAAGCGCACGUAGGCGGCUUGGCAAGUUGGGGGUGAAAUCCCCGGGCUCAACCCGGGAACUGCCUUCAAAACUGCUUGGCUAGAGGAUGCGAGAGGUUGGCGGAAUUCCGAGUGUAGAGGUGAAGUUCGUAGAUAUUCGGAAGAACACCAGUGGCGAAGGCGGCCAACUGGCGCAUUUCUGACGCUGAGGUGCGAAAGCGUGGGGAGCAAACAGG